rnacentral:sRNA from 1 species
UGCGUGUUGAAGCUAUUGACCACCCUUGC